rnacentral:sRNA from 1 species
ACCGAAGCAACCAUGCCCAGUAAGU